AGCCGCGUGAUGUACAGCAUAUAAAAUUGCAAAUUUUAAAGAGCGACCUAAUUUUCGCCGGGGCUU
rnacentral:tRNA from 1 species